rnacentral:ncRNA from 1 species
GUUGUUGCGCUAGUAAUCCUGCUCAGUACGAGAGGAACCGCAGGUUCAGACAUUUGGUGUAUGUGCUUGGCUGAGGAGCCACUGGAGCGAGGCUACCAUCUGUGGGAUUAUGACUGAACGCCUCUAAGUCAGAAUCCCCCCUAAACGUAGCGAU